rnacentral:rRNA from 1 species
UACGGAGGGUGCGAGCGUUGUUCGGAAUCACUGGGCGUAAAGCGCGUGUAGGCGGCCUGCUAAGUCUGAUGUGAAAGCCCGAGGCUCACCCUCGGAAGUGCAUUGGAAACUGGCAGACUGGAGUCCCGGAGAGGAGGGUGGAAUUCCUGGUGUAGCGGUGAAAUGCGUAGAUAUCAGGAGGAACACCGGUGGCGAAGGCGGCCCUCUGGACGGUGACUGACGCUGAGACGCGAAAGCGUGGGGAGCAAACAGGAUUAGAUACCCUGGUAGUCCACGCUGUAAACGAUGAGCACUAGGUGUCGCGGGUAUUGACCCCUGCGGUGCCGCCGCUAACGCAUUAAGUGCUCCGCCUGGGGACUACGGCCGCAAGGUUAAA